GAGAAAAUAGUUUUAUAAAGUGUACAUUUCAUACUAGGUUAUAGAUAUAUGAACCUGGCCGUAAACUCUCUGACUGGAAGUUGUACUAUGUGUUUUUAAGGUCCUUUCUGAUUCUUUCUAUAAUUUUAAGUGAUUUAUCUAAACUGGGUCUAUUGUGUCAAGGGAAGGAGACCAGGACUUACCUCAGAGGCCUGGUAUAGGCCUGGCCAGAAUUUUCUCUGCUUUUAAUAAUCUUGGGUUUUUCAUCUGUGAAAGUGGGCUAAUAAUUCAUAACUUUUCGGUGAUUGUUGGGGAUGUAAUGACAGACACCAAAGCAAUUUUUACCACAUCAGGGAGAUAUUUGUUACAUUCUAUUUAGUACUUGAAUAAUUCACCUCAAAGUUUCAGGAUAUCAGAAAUAUGCAGCAAGGACACAAAUUUUACUUAACUGAGUGGAAGUAUAUAGACUAAGGCUCCCUCUCCACCCAGAACCCAAAACUCACAAGAUGAGUUAACCUCACAGGUUUCUGACUUUGCACUUGUUAUAUGCCAUGGAUCUGCAAUGGCUUUUUAUACUAUAUAGCCCAAUAAUGUUUUUGUUUUACAUGAAUAACACCUUUGCAUUAACAACUUUAUUCCUCAAUGACUGGAGAAUGAGCUGCCUAUAUAAUGCUCCAUCACUUUCAAUAAUCGAGGGUGAUUUUUUUUCCCCCUGUACAUGGAACAUGUUCCUAGAAAACCAUGGCACAGCUGGAGAAAUCAGAAAAUAAGCAUUGACACCUCACUACCAUUUAAUCCUCAGACCCACUCAAGUUUCA
rnacentral:lncRNA from 1 species